GACGAACGCUGGCGGCGUGCUUAACACAUGCAAGUCGAACGGAAAGGCCCUGCUUUUGUGGGGUGCUCGAGUGGCGAACGGGUGAGUAACACGUGAGUAACCUGCCCUUGACUUUGGGAUAACUUCAGGAAACUGGGGCUAAUACCGGAUAGGAGCUCCUGCUGCAUGGUGGGGGUUGGAAAGUUUCGGCGGUUGGGGAUGGACUCGCGGCUUAUCAGCUUGUUGGCGGGGUAGUGGCUUACCAAGGCUUUGACGGGUAGCCGGCCUGAGAGGGUGACCGGCCACAUUGGGACUGAGAGACGGCCCAGACUCCUACGGGAGGCAGCAGUGGGGAAUAUUGCACAAUGGGCGGAAGCCUGAUGCAGCAACGCCGCGUGCGGGAUGACGGCCUUCGGGUUGUAAACCGCUUUCGCCUGUGACGAAGCGUGAUUGACGGUAAUGGGUAAAGAAGCACCGGCUAACUACGUG
rnacentral:rRNA from 1 species